AGCGACGCAGAAGACGGGUGAUUUCUGCAUUUCCAUCUGAGAAUGAUUGUCACAUAAUGUGUAGAGAAAAUGGAAGAAUCAAAGGCAAGGGAAACCUGUACAGUGGAGACACAAAGGGUCACUGGCAGAUUUCAAAUGAUCCAAGACAUCCUCAAGGAAGAUUUACCACAAGUUACUUUAUCAUAGCUUUGAGUGGCAUUUUAAUAUCAUAUUUUAAAAGAAAGAAAACAAUAGAAAUGUAUUAAAAUAUCUUCUCAAGAAUCCUUCCAAACCACAAGGAAAAUCACCAGGCCAAAAGUGAGGUUUGAAGUCUGGACAUGUACUGGUUUUCUCUAGCAAUCGACUCUCAAUUUUUGGACAUUGAGAUCUGCUGGUUGGAGAUCUUAGUGCCCAAGGAAGAAUGCUUGCAAAAGGAGAUGGAACAGUGUUUCUGUUGCAUUGGCCACUGAGAAUAUCUGGUUAUUUUGAAUUUGUCACAGUCUGCAGCUAAAAGGCGAACAGGAAAAGAAGAGAGAGCGGUAAUUUGAAUGAUAGCAGAUUUCACAUCAGGAACCAAUGAAGCUAGAUAAGAAUGCAACAUCUUUGAUGUCUAAAAGAAACAAAAAGCCAACCUUGAAUUCUUUAUUUAGUGAAGUUACCCUUCAGAAAUGACGGCAAAAUAAAGAUGUUUUCCAAUAAAAGACAACUAUGAGAAUUCUUCACCAGCAGUCCUAUUGUAUCAGAACAGCCAAAAGAAGUUUGUCAGCCUACAGGGAAUUAUAUCAAAGGGAAGACUUGACCUUGAAAAUGAAUGAGGAAUAUAAGAAAUUGAUAUUAUCUGGGAAGCGGCACAUGAGACUAGCAGGAGUAAAUGUUAUAUACACUGGGCCUCGCAAAAAUUCUGCAAUCACUGGGAAUCAGUAACCUGGUAGAAUGAGAAAACAACGUAAUACUGAAAAAUCAAAACACCAUCCUACAGAACUUUGAUGCAUUCAGAACAAAGAUCACGAAUCAAGCUGAAAAAGUAAAGCAUUCUGUGAGUUGUGGAAUGGAAAUUGCCUCAACCAUCUCACCACUUGAUGACACUUGUAAUUUCAGUGACCCAAUUCAAGCAAUCAAACAUCAAGUAAUACUCUCAAUAAAGAUGUGUAAUUAAAACAGAAGAGGAAACAGACUAACAGAAGUGAUGAAGAAUGGCAGUUCUAAGGAUGGCAGGAAUUCACUGAAUGUCUAUCUAUCAUGUAUGCUGUUGGAGGCACCUGUCUUUCAGUUCAGAGGUUAUGGAUGUAUCUAUCAUCAGUAUUUCGGGAAGUCAGGGACCCGGAACAGAGGGACUUAAUGAAGCUGUGGCAGAAGAAAAAAUUAUGAAGAUUUCAUGGACAUUUAUUAGUUCCCCAAAUUAAUACUUUUAUAAUUUCUUACA
rnacentral:lncRNA from 1 species